AUCCAACAUUCUGUCUGUCCAGCCCAAAUAUACGCUGUUAGCCGGCGGGGCCGUGAACGGGUUUCUGCUUAUUAUUUUCUGCUAUCCGAUUGUGAAGUUGGACUUGUUGGAAUCCGAAACUAAGAUGUUGCUAUAUAAAUCCAUUCAGAUCAACAGACGUUUGAUUUUGAAACAUGAAAACUCCGAAAUCGAUCGGCUGAUAGGAAUGCUAGAAAAGC